rnacentral:lncRNA from 1 species
UCUCUUCUCAACAUUAAGGGGACUUCAUGGACUCUGAUCUUCAUCCUGAGGAUGAUGCUUUGGACUUCUGACACAGUGUUUCCCUCUGGAUCUUCGCUGUUUAGGUUUUUCUUAAUCCGUUAGUUUGCGCUUUGUACCUUCAACGGAUUUUCUUUUCUUUUUCUUUGUUUUUACUUGUUUUUGCUUUUGUUUUUGGUUUUGUAUAUAUAGAUAUAUAGUGGUCUAUAAUCGUGUGAAGUCAAAAAGGUGCGAAAUAGUGUGUAUAUAUAUUGUAUUUGGUUCAAGGAAAAGUGAAUUGUUAUCAGCAAGGGUAUGUUUGUUUCUUUGUUUGUCUUUUACCUAAACUUUAGUUCUGAUAUUAUAUGGAUCUUGAACUUGGGAAAUAUUUGAUAAUAUCUUGGACUUUGAGAGUAUUUUCACUAGUUUCAAG